rfam:Populus trichocarpa scaffold_14_contig_102, whole genome shotgun sequence.
UGAUUUAUCUAGAUUAAAUCUUCAUCUAUGAAUGUCAGAUAAUCACACGAAUGCUCAUAACCAUCAAUGUCUAUAAGCUCAGCUACAUUAUUCUCUUCAAGUUAGAGAUAACUUGUCAUUGAGUUAUGCUCUUUUU